UGCCUCAGUAACGGCGAGUGAAGCGGCAACAGCUCAAAUUUGAAAUCUGGGGCCUUCGGCUCCCGAGUUGUAAUUUGUAGAGGAUGCCUCGGGGGGUGCUUCGGCCCAAGUUCCUUGGAACAGGAUACCACAGAGGGUGAGAGUCCCGUAUCCGGCCGGCAGUGCCCUCCGCGCGAGGCUCCUUCGACGAGUCGAGUUGUUUGGGAAUGCAGCUCUAAGCGGGUGGUAAAUUCCAUCUAAAGCUAAAUACUGGCCAGAGACCGAUAGCGAACAAGUAGAGUGAUCGAAAGAUGAAAAGCACUUUGAAAAGAGAGUCAAACAGUACGUGAAAUUGUUGAAAGGGAAGCGUAUGGGGGCAGACUUGGCCGCGGGGUUCAGGGUGUCUUUUGGCGCCUGUACUUCCCCGUGGGCAGGCCAGCAUCGGUUUUGGGGGUUGGAUAAAGGCGUCGGGAAUGUGGCUCCCCUCGGGGAGUGUUAUAGCCCGUCGCGCAAUGCAGCCACCCGGGAUCGAGGACCGCGCUUCGGCAAGGAUGCUGGCGUAAUGGCCUCAUACGGCCCGUCUUGAAACACGGACCAAGGAGUCUAACAUCUAUGCGAGUGUUUGGGUGUCAAGCCCGAGCGCGCAAUGAAAGUGAACGGAGGUGGGAGCCCGUAAAAAGGCGCACCAUCGACCGAUCCUGACGUCUUCUGAGGGA
rnacentral:rRNA from 1 species